CAGCCGCCGCGGGAAUACGCAGGGUGCAAGCGUUAAUCGGAAUUACUGGGCGUAAAGCGUGCGCAGGCGGUUAUGUAAGUCAGAUGUGAAAUCCCCGGGCUCAACCUGGGAACUGCAUUUGAGACUGUAUGGCUAGAGUGUGUCAGAGGGGGGUAGAAUUCCACGUGUAGCAGUGAAAUGCGUAGAUAUGUGGAGGAAUACCGAUGGCGAAGGCAGCCCCCUGGGAUAACACUGACGCUCAUGCACGAAAGCGUGGGGAGCAAAUGGGAUUAGAUACCCCGGUAGUCCCUGUCUCUUAUAC
rnacentral:rRNA from 1 species